GGGACACGUGGUAUCCUGUCUGAAUAUGGGGGGACCAUCCUCCAAGGCUAAAUACUCCUGACUGACCGAUAGUGAACCAGUACCGUGAGGGAAAGGCGAAAAGAACCCCGGCGAGGGGAGUGAAAAAGAACCUGAAACCGUGUACGUACAAGCAGUGGGAGCACCCUUCGGGGUGUGACUGCGUACCUUUUGUAUAAUGGGUCAGCGACUUAUAUUCUGUAGCAAGGUUAACCGAAUAGGGGAGCCGGAGGGAAACCGAGUCUUAAUUGGGCGUUAAGUUGCAGGGUAUAGACCCGAAACCCGGUGAUCUAGCCAUGGGCAGGUUGAAGGUUGGGUAACACUAACUGGAGGACCGAACCGACUAAUGUUGAAAAAUUAGCGGAUGACCUGUGGCUGGGGGUGAAAGGCCAAUCAAACCGGGAGAUAGCUGGUUCUCCCCGAAAGCUAUUUAGGUAGCGCCUCGUGAAUUCAUCUCCGGGGGUAGAGCACUGUUUCGGCUAGGGGGCCAUCCCGGCUUACCAACCCGAUGCAAACUGCGAAUACCGGAGAAUGUUAUCACGGGAGACACACGGCGGGUGCUAACGUCCGUCGUGAAGAGGGAAACAACCCAGACCGCCAGCUAAGGUCCCAAAGUCAUGGUUAAGUGGGAAACGAUGUGGGAAGGCCCAGACAGCCAGGAUGUUGGCUUAGAAGCAGCCAUCAUUUAAAGAAAGCGUAAUAGCUCACUGGUCGAGUCGGCCUGCGCGGAAGAUGUAACGGGGCUAAACCAUGCACCGAAGCUGCGGCAGCGACACUGUGUGUUGUUGGGUAGGGGAGCGUUCUGUAAGCCUGUGAAGGUGUGUCGUGAGGCAUGCUGGAGGUAUCAGAAGUGCGAAUGCUGACAUAAGUAACGAUAAAGCGGGUGAAAAGCCCGCUCGCCGGAAGACCAAGGGUUCCUGUCCAACGUUAAUCGGGGCAGGGUGAGUCGACCCCUAAGGCGAGGCCGAAAGGCGUAGUCGAUGGGAAACGGGUUAAUAUUCCCGUACUUGGUGUUACUGCGAAGGGGGGACGGAGAAGGCUAUGUUGGCCGGGCGACGGUUGUCCCGGUUUAAGCGUGUAGGUGUGUGUUCCAGGUAAAUCCGGUU
rnacentral:rRNA from 1 species